CCAGUGGGGAAGGGGAAAGCUAUUGAUUAAAACAAAAACUAUUUUGAGUUUUUGUUAUUAUGAGUUGAGCUCCUUAAUGAAGUUUUUCUAUUAUGGCUAUAUUGGCUGCACCCUAAAUGGGGUGUCCUGGGUGAACCAAAUGCUGGUGUAGGGAAAGGAAUGGGAAUGUUGAGGGGAUGGGAAGAGGCAUCAAGAACAGGAAUAUAAUUUUCCUACAGUGCUGUUCUGCUGAGACUACAGAGUACCUCAGGGAGUCAUGCAUCCUCUUCCUGUUGCUUUACUGAAUCUUAAAGAGUGAUACAGUACUAAUGAUGCCAUUCUAGCAACUGGAGCAGCUUCAGGGGAGAGAGCACAUUAAGGGUGCUGGGAUGGUAAUGGUUGGGAGGAAGCUGAAUGGUAGUAAGAGAGACAUUCUGUCCUGAGAACUCUGAUCCAGGAUCUGAAUGAUGCAGUGUCGCAAUCCCAUUUUAUAAAUGAGGCAACCAAAACUCGAACAGGACCAUAUUGCGACUGAAACAAGGCAUAACAGGUCUUUGACUGGCUAUCCUGUGGAUGUGGACUCAGGCUAGCCUGCGCAAAGUGAAAGACAGGCAAUUAGAUUGAAAAAUACCUGUGAUUCAAAGAAGUCACAAGUCACAGAGACAAACUUUUCCCAGUGUGUUCGAGUCAGAGAACCUUUGCAAAGACCAACAGGCUAAAAGAGAAAAUACAAUGUCAUCUUGAUGCAGAUGAGCAGGUAACCAUGGAAGUCGUGAGCUGAGGCUGCAGAGUCUAGAGCCAGAGUGUGGAAUAAACUUGGGUCUCAAAUCACCCCUGGAGCAAAGCACCCAUCUAAUCAGGAACUUCUACUUUCAACUUUACAUGCGUGAGAAAUGAACUUCUAUCAUGUUAGAGAAAUCCUUACACGGCGCCCUUGAGAGCUUUCAUACUGCAAGUCAUCCAUUUUCCUCCCCUCAAACCUGGCAUCGGAGUUUAUUGAAACAAAGCAAAAUAAAACAAAUAGACAAAGCUCUACCUCCAUCACUUCUGCAGUCUACAUUAACCCCACGUCCAGAAUAUUCACACCUCAGGUCUUUUUCUCACAAUUGAAACACUGGUUCAGAGCCUAACGGAAGGUCUUGGAGGUAAAAACACAACUUGGGGCAACUUUUCCAUUCUGUUCUGCAUGACCCCAAUGGGACUUCUCAGAAACCCCUCUCAUGAAUUAAACUUUGUUCUGUCUAGAGCAUUAGAAUAAGCUUAUGGGCACCUGCCAGGAGAUUAUAAAGUGGGCCAUUUAAAAGAUGACAGAUAUUGAGCACCCUUGACCCUGUAGAAAGAGUGUACCUACUUGCUUUCCCUAGGGCCCUUAAUGGUUUAUAAAA
rnacentral:lncRNA from 1 species